rnacentral:rRNA from 1 species
UGGGGAAUAUUGGACAAUGGGCGCAAGCCUGAUCCAGCCAUGCCGCGUGUGUGAAGAAGGCCUUCGGGUUGUAAAGCACUUUUGUCCGGAAAGAAAAGCUUCGGGUUAAUACCCCGGGGUCCUGACGGUACCGGAAGAAUAAGCACCGGCUAACUUCGUGCCAGCAGCCGCGGUAAUACGAAGGGUGCAAGCGUUACUCGGAAUUACUGGGCGUAAAGCGUGCGUAGGUGGUUUGUUAAGUCUGAUGUGAAAGCCCUGGGCUCAACCUGGGAAUGGCAUUGGAUACUGGCGAGCUAGAGUGCGGUAGAGGGUAGUGGAAUUCCCGGUGUAGCAGUGAAAUGCGUAGAGAUCGGGAGGAACAUCUGUGGCGAAGGCGACUACCUGGACCAGCACUGACACUGAGGCACGAAAGCGUGGGGAGCAAACAGG